UAAUACGAAGGGACCUAGCGUAGUUCGGAAUUACUGGGCUUAAAGAGCACGUAGGUGGUUAGAAAAGUUGGUGGUGAAAUCCCAGGGCUUAACCCUGGAACUGCUACCAAAACUUUUUGACUAGAGUGUGAUAGAGGUAAGCGGAAUUUCUAGUGUAGAGGUGAAAUUCGUAGAUAUUAGAAAGAACACCAAUUGCGAAGGCAGCUUUCUGGAUCAUUACUGACACUGAGGUGCGAAAGCAUGGGUAGCGAAGAGGAUUAGAUACCCUCGUAGUCCAUGCCGUAAACGAUGUGUGCUAGAUGUUGGGAAUUUUAUUCUCAGUGUCGCAGCAAAAGCGUUAAGCACACCGCCUGGGGAGUACGACCGCAAGGUUA
rnacentral:rRNA from 1 species